CACACACACACACACACACACACACACACACACACACACACACACACACACACACACACACCAUAAGUACAAAUUAUUCCACAUUAUUAUUAUUGCUAGUGUUCCUAGUGUUAUUAGUAUAAACUUUAUAAUUAUUUAAUACCCACAUUAGGACUUUAUUAACUAAACAUCUCGUGUUUAUUAACAAACUAUUAGACAAUAUUUAACUCCAAUUACCAUUUUUUAAAAAGCAGUUUAAAGCAGAGAAUUAUAUAAAUAAUGAGAAAACAAAUCUUUUUAAAAUCUAUUCAUUUAUUUCAGAUCUGCACUGAUGACCUUGAGUUCUACAGCAGUUUGUGUGAAACAUCACAAUGAUUCUUUAUCUGUAACUAGAUGACAUUCAUUAGAAACUCUAACAAGCUCAGCAGACUUGGGGUCUCAGUAUGAGAGCCGACUUCACUUCACAAACACUCAUAAACUGGGUUCAUUGGUAUCAUGAUGUGUGUUAACAACUCGUUAAUGUGAUCCAGACUUCCAUCAUCAGGUCCUGUGUACAUUCACUUUAAAAAGAACACAUCUCACACUGCUUCUAAUACUUGUUGGACAAACUGGAGAUGUAUUGUGUUAAAUCUGUACAUUUUGCUGCAGAAGAACAAGAAUUCAAGAUAAACAAUAAGGACAAAAAUCAGUACUGUCACUGCUGCCAGGCCCUGCCCUCUGAUUGGUCCACGGUGACAGGAUGCAGCACAUCAGGGAGUUUCUCCUUCCUAAUCCUGCUUCUACUGUGCACCACUGUCAUGUCACCUGCCUUGGAUGGGUCGACACUUUACAGCCUUAAACUACUGAAGUGAGUCUUGAGAAUCCCAAAGUUCAUUUCUAUCCUGAUUCUAGUCUUGUCCUGAUCUGUUUAAAUCACCCCUGAGGUCCAGCAGUGGCAGAGGAAAUGGAGUCAUCAGGACCUUCUUGCAGGUGAACCCUCUCAGGUGUCUCCAGGUAGCCCAAUGGAACUGAACUACGAUGCAGAAUGGACAGGAACAUUUGAAGAAAAAUGUUUAAAUCAAACCCAUAUACAUACAGUAAGAGAGUCAGUGUUCAUUCCAAGCUCUACAUGGUGAUAUAGUCUACACUCUCUGAGUAAAUGGGUCAUGACCUGACUCAGGACAUUGGCCUUAAUGCUGGUAGUCAGGACUGAACACAAGUUUGUGUGAACAGGAAAAAAGGGAGGAUUGUGAUUUAUAUUCAUGUUCUAUUAACCUUCCUCUUAUGUUAGCUCUUUGUUACUAUCUCUUAUGUGAACGGGUCAGUUUUGAACUGUGUCCUAAAUCAGUCAUAAAAUAGCCUCAAAACAAUUAUUUAUCAUCUGAUUUGUUUCUUACCUCUUAGAUACCAUGUUAGGCUUCUUUAUCCAUAAAAAGAUUGGUUUUACUAUUUUGGUGUGAAUGA